CAGUCGCCACGGGAAUACGAAGGGGGCUAGCGUUGCUCGGAAUUACUGGGCGUAAAGGGCGCGUAGGCGGCGCUCCAAGUUAGGCGUGAAAUUCCCGGGCUCAACCUGGGGACUGCGCUUAAGACUGGAGUGCUUGAGGAUGGAAGAGGGUUGUGGAAUUCCCAGUGUAGAGGUGAAAUUCGUAGAUAUUGGGAAGAACACCGGUGGCGAAGGCGGCAACCUGGUCCAUUACUGACGCUGAGGCGCGAUAGCGUGGGGAGCAAACAGGAUUAGAUACCCGCGUAGUCCCUGUCUCUUAUAC
rnacentral:rRNA from 1 species